rnacentral:rRNA from 1 species
AGCGAACGCUGGCGGCAGGCCUAACACAUGCAAGUCGAACGAAGUCUUCGGACUUAGUGGCGGACGGGUGAGUAACACGUGGGAACGUGCCUUUAGGUUCGGAAUAACUCAGGGAAACUUGUGCUAAUACCGAAUGUGCCCUUCGGGGGAAAGAUUUAUCGCCUUUAGAGCGGCCCGCGUCUGAUUAGCUAGUUGGUGAGGUAAAGGCACACCAAGGCGACGAUCAGUAGCUGGUCUGAGAGGAUGAUCAGCCAAAUUGGGACUGAGACACGGCCCAAACUCCUACGGGAGGCAGCAGCGGGGAAUCUUGCGCAAUGGGCGAAAGCCUGACGCAGCCAUGCCGCGUGAAUGAUGAAGGUCAUAGGAUUGUAAAAUUCUUUCACCGGGGACGAUAAUGACGGUACCCGGAGAAGAAGCCCCGGCUAACUUCGUGCCAGCCGCCGCAGUAACAC